CAGCCACAGCGGCGACGCCGACUUGGGCCGCUUGCCCCCAGCCGCCCUCCUCUUCGCCGCCUCCACCCCCGCUCCUGUUGCAUCCUGCACAGCGCACGCAACCGCAUAGACACCAUUCACUUCGCCAUCCGGCCCCCUCACUCUCACCGCCCCCUCCCCUGCAGCGGAGAACGAACUUCGCGGGCCCCUUUCGGCUCACGCACUUCCUCACGCUCUCCCUAGUCUGGUGCGUUCCCUUCUCCUCGCCACCUGACACACACACACACGCACACACACACGCACGUGCAUCACCAUACAUCAACGCCAUGCACUUCGACCCUGGACCGUGCUCACGUGACCAGAGACCUCAGCGAGAGAAUCGGUACACGGUGCACUACAAUAUGGAUGGUCGCGCUGCCCCCUCCAGCACCACGACGCUGCUACCGCUUCGCCACUACGGCCGCGCACGCGACAUCAGCGCGAUGCUGACAGCCCCCGUCGUGGAGUACCGCCAGCCGCAGUGGACGACGCCGCUUGGAAAGCCGCUCUGGACACUUUCUCCCAUUCCCAACCCGACGACCGCGGCAACUGGUGUUGAGCGCAGAAGUGGCGGCAGCAGAAGCGGCACACCGCACGCGUACUGCAUCCCCUCGUCGUGCCCGACUGCCUUCACAGCCGCCCGUACUCUAUCUUAUCUCAGCGGUGCGGCCGCAUCCGCAGCUAGGGCCACAGAGACGACGCUGCGCUCCUCUUCCAACGUCAUGCGACAGCCAUUUACGUCUUCCUACAUGGAGGUAUCGCCUCCCUCGGCAGCAGUGGCGGCUCAGCGGGACUACGAAGCUGCAGGCAGGCGAGUGCGAGCGGAGCGGGCGGGCGGCGCCACCGCUACCGCAGGGCGGCAUUCCUCCGGCAGCUCACCGCCACCACGUUCCACUACGAGUGACCAGCAGUCGCAUCGCAGCCGCGACAUUGCGCAGGCCCGCCCUGGCUGCACGACGUCCACGGAGCGCGUCCGCUACCGCAACGGCGUCACAAGGAAGUUGAUUGACCUCUACGACGAGAUAGCAGAGUUGUACGACUGCCGCGAGAACAUGAGGAACCAGGUGACGCAGGCGAUGCGCACCGACCCUCGCUACUGUAAGGAGAGGCACGGCGAGGUCCGACUCGCCUGCGAGCCCACACCCCAGCAGCAGUCCGCUGUAGAGUCGGUCGAAGACGCGCUUGAGGUCUUGCACGACGCCGUGCACGAGCUGGUCGCGGCCUAUCUCACACCGGAGGAGAAGCGCCACCUCGGCAUCGACACGCACCUCUUCCAGACCAGCACGGAAAAGGCAAAUACCUACCAGUACGCGCCACCCCCGUCGAAGCCGCAGUCUUCGUCGAGCAGUGCCGCACGAAGGGCCCGUCGAAAGACGUCCACGGCGACGACGUCUCCACUGCCGUCCACUCGCCCCCGUGAGGUGCACAAGGAGCAGGAGGAGGGUGAGGCUGAUGAAAAUACAGCAGCCACCUCGCCGACGCCGGCAGCUCCAACUCUCACCGCCCCUGCCGACACGCCGGCUCCACAGCAGCAGCCGUUGGCUACUACGACGACCAACAACAAUAUCAGCAACAACGUCUGGGACUUGUCGGCGCCAGCGGCAUCAGCUGCCUUCAGCUCGGCCGCCAUCCCUCUCCCAGCAUUCCCCGUCAAGCUAGCACAGCAGUCUGUGGUUGAACUCUCCCAGCUGGCGGACCCGCCACAGCCGGUGACGUCGUCGUCGCAGCCUCUCUGCUCCUCCAUUGUGCAUGUCGCAGCGCCGGAGAAGCACGAAGAUGGCUCUGAUACCGCAGUUGAGCAGAAACCUGCCACGGCUUCCCACACAGAAGACGCAGAGAUUGCGGAAGGGACCCCGGAGCGCGUCUUGGCGUCGGCCGUGCCCGCAUCGACACCGAGUAUCACGUGGCCCACGGACACGGGGGCGGGGUCAACACCGCAUCCACCGACCGGGUCGCAGCCCCCGCUUGCAACUGACCAGCUUGUGAAGGUGCCAGUUAGCAGCCCCGAUGCGCAGAUUCCGAUCGCCAAGACGCCGCCGGCAGUACCCCCGGGACCCACGUCGGUGCGGGCGCAGGCGCGGGAACCCGCACUGACUUCCACCAACCCUACGCAACCGCCGCCGCACCCACCCAGCCAAGCUGCCUUCGCGACGAGCUGCAACGACGCCUCUGCUGCCAAGGCCUCUGAGCCGCAAGCACAGAGAGCGGUCUCGAGGUUCAAGCGCCUCCUGAUCGACUCCGACAGUGACAGCAGCUGGUGACUCGACUUGGUAGAGCACUGCAGCUAGCGGUGGUGGUGAUGCUCGAGGGCACCGGAGGAGGAGGCUGGGUAGAGGGUCCGAAAGGAAGGAAAGCCGAUGGCUACUGCGCAUGUGUGUGCGCGUGUUUUCGUGUGUGCAGAAGUGGCAAUGUAAGGCGCCGUGGCUGAUGUGAUGAGUGGCUCGAAGUGUUCGCUCAAACUACUCUCCCGAAGGUGCUCCACCACGUCCGACCCCACGUCACCCGCAGGUGCACCUGGCGCACACGCCACCCCUUCUCUCCUUCCACACACGCACACUCCGGAGUUCGGUGCGCGCACCUUAUGUUCCGUUUUGCUUCUUCUUUCUGCGAGAAUCCCUGCG
rnacentral:misc_RNA from 1 species